rnacentral:rRNA from 1 species
GUCUAAGUAUCAUUAAGUGAAUACAUAGCUUAAUGAGGGGAACUCAGGGAACUGAAACAUCUAAGUACCUGAAGGAAGAGAAAGAAAUUCGAUUCCGUAAGUAGCGGCGAGCGAACGCGGAUUAGCCAAAACCAAUAAAGUUUUCUUUAUUGGGGUUGCGGACAUAUCAUAACGAAGAGGUAUCGUAAUUGAAGAGGUUUGGAAAGACCCACCACAGAAGGUAAUAGUCCUGUAUGUUAAACGAAAAGACUUUAG